rnacentral:misc_RNA from 1 species
AACGCACCUUGCGCUUCUUGGUAUUCCGAGGAGCAUGCCUGUUUGAGUGUCAUUAAUAUAUAUAUCAAACUUCUCUUGUUGAGUGGUUUGGAUGUGGGGGUUUGCUGGCCUCUUAUAAUUAAAAGGGUUCAGCUCCUCUGAAAUGCAUUAGCAGAACAACCCCUGUUCAUUGGUGUGAUAACUAUCUACGCUAUUGAAAGUGGGGGGCAGUUCAGCUUUCUAACAGUCCCUUGGACAAUUCAUCAUUAAUGUGACCUCAAAUCAGGUAGGACUACCCGCUGAACUUAA